rnacentral:lncRNA from 1 species
CCCCAAACUGAAGAGGGCAGUUUGUUCCAUUCUGUAUUCAUUAGAAACAAAGGAGGUGAAGACUGCAAGAAAUCCAUGCUUAAACUCUCCGGAGCACUGACUGCUCUUGAGUUGGGUGAUCAUGUUGCUGAAGUAUUCUUUUGUAGUGGUGAGUGAGGAAUCUCCGUCGAUUAUGGAAGGCAAGUGAAGUGAAUGAUGUGUGGAAUUUGAAAGAGUCAAAUGAUACAUGAGAU